rnacentral:rRNA from 1 species
CCUACGGGGUGCAGCAGUCGAGAAUCAUUCACAAUGGGGGAAACCCUGAUGGUGCGACGCCGCGUGGGGGAAUGAAGGUCUUCGGAUUGUAAACCCCUGUCAUGUGGGAGCAAAUUAAAAAGAUAGUACCACAAGAGGAAGAGACGGCUAACUCUGUGCCAGCAGCCGCGGGAAUACAGAGGUCUCAAGCGUUGUUCGGAAUCACUGGGCGUAAAGCGUGCGUAGGCUGUUUCGUAAGUCGUGUGUGAAAGGCGCGGGCUCAACCCGCGGACGGCACAUGAUACUGCGGGACUAGAGUAAUGGAGGGGGAACCGGAAUUCUCGGUGUAGCAGUGAAAUGCGUAGAUAUCGAGAGGAACACUCGUGGCGAAGGCGGGUUCCUGGACAUUAACUGACGCUGAGGCACGAAGGCCAGGGGAGCGAAAGGGAUUAGAUACCCUGGUAGUC